rfam:Polysphondylium pallidum PN500 unplaced genomic scaffold PPL_scaffold8, whole genome shotgun sequence.
GGGACUUUAGUUUAGAUGGUAGAACGCUGGCUUCGCAUGCUUGAAAUCUGGGAUCGAUACCCGGGAGUUCCA